UGGGGGCUUAUUUGGCCUCCCCAGGAUGGACUGGAGCAUCAGUAGUGCCCGGGUUUAUCACAGGACAGAUACUCAAGACACUCUUAUCACCAUUAGGUGGACUUGGAGGAGCAAAAAACAAGUGCAGUGGCUCCUCAGCAGAGACACUCCUGAAUGUAUAGACAUGGGAACCACCUUCAGCAUCAAAAAAGGAAACGUUCUGCAUGCCCAUAUCCAGAAAAAUCCCCACUCGCUGUAACUUGCGGUCUACGAAGAGGAAAGUCAGCGGCACCGUGCUGGCAGAGAGGCGGCUUCCAUCCCUCAAACUCACAGUCCAGAAUCCACGCUCUGUGGUCAGAUGGAUCCUCCCUUUGCGGUGAACAGAUUCUCUGCAGACUCCCAGGUCCCAUUCUGUGCUUGUUCCCACGUCCACCUCCCAGUAGUGGCGGCCACAGGUAAAGCGAGGGGAGCCCAGGAUGCAAAUGGACACGUCAAAUCUCUCGGCAAGGUCUUGCCGAUUCUGUGUGAUGCACCCACUUCGGACGCUCCUGAGGUCGUCAGAAAUGAGGAGGAAGUUGUUGGCUGUGUCGGCAUCCAAGGUCAUAUCCACUGUGAAAAGGAAAAAAAGUUGAUCAGAAAAUGGACAGAAGCCAACCCCAUGCCUCUCCUCUACUUCAAAGGCCCAAAUAUCUCUUGACUUUGGUUUCUUUAAUUCUCUUCUUCCCCCAAAAUCAAAACUUUUCAUGAGGCAACUUCCCUGACUAGUUCAAAUUCUCAUAGGUAUGCUUUGUGGCAAUACCCAACUCUUAUUCACAGUAGCAAUUAUUUUACUUUAUGUCACGUGUUUGCUUCAUUGGACUUUUCUUCAUUUAGAGUGGAGGGUCUCUGAAGGCAGACACCAUGACCCCCUUUCUACCACCUUGAUGCAUGAAAAAAUGAAUGAUAAUUAAGACAAUGCAAAUGGUCGAUGUUAAAUAUGUUUCUGCUUCCAUCUUGUAUUGCUCAACUCAGUAUAUAGAGCAUGAUUCCAGGCCUUUGUUUUCCAUGUUUGUAAGCAAAUUAAUUGUGCAUGGUUCUGACAGCAGGUAGGGUAUCUCUGCAGCUGACAAUGUGAUGACAGAGGUGCCGGUCCUGGACAUUAGGAGGCUCCAAGGCCAGGAGGAAGAGGGGGGCCUUAGAUGAAAGAAUGUUUUCCAUCCUACAUGGGAGGUGAAACCUUAAGCAAAACAAUGGUAAAUUUUGGAGUGAAGAGAAAGGUAUUUGAAAGUUGUUUGUUGGCUGAGCGCGGUGGCUCACACCUGUAAUCCCAGCACUUUGGGAGGCCGAGACGGGUGGAUCACGAGGUCAGGAGAUCGAGACCAUCCUGGCUAACACGUGAAACCCUGUCUCUACUAAAAAACAUACAAAAAAAUUAGCCGGACAUGGUGGCGGGUGCCUGUAGUCCUAGCUACUCGGUAGACUGAGGCAGGAGAAUGGCAUGAACCCAGGAGGCGGAGCUUGCAAUGAGCAGAGAUCAUGCCACUGCACCUCCAGCCUAGGCGGCAGAGCGAGACUCCAUCUCAAAAAAUAAAAAAAAAAAGAAAGUUGUUCGUCAUAACUGACUGAUCGUAGAGAAUAAGGGCAGUAAAUACAAAGGUCAAUAAUUUAAUGCAUUGGGUAUGUGGUUGAUAGGUGAAGCUGCCAAUUCUCAUGGAGGAGGCAGUGUGAUCUGGCCUAAAGAAAAUUAAUUGUCCAGAGCAUUCUGAAAAAAAAAUCUACAGAACAUAUGAUCCUUCAAGUCAAAAAACUGAUGAUCACCAAUAUAGAUUUUAUAGAUUACAGUAAGACUUGAGGAGACUGAUUGCUGUUUGAUGGUGAAUUAGGGAAUGAAAUGAGAUGAGUGGACAUGGACAAGGAAGGAGGAAGAGGGUUCCAAACAUGACUUAGGCAGGGUGAAUCUGUCCUCCAUAUUUCAGCAGAGACACAGUCAGGUAUGGGUAGGUGGAUGAGUAGAGAUCAUGGGUGUCAGGGCAGAAGCCACCACCAUUUAUAGGUGUAAUUCUUUGCCCAGGCUGACCAUAACCUCUUCAUUUAAAUGUCCCUAUUCCCCAGAGUUAUGGAGAGUGAUAGUAUUUUCUGUAGCCAGGACCCCUGUUGAAGUCCAUGGCACACCGAUGAGGAGACCAGCGUCUGCAACUCGCCCCACUCACAGAAACAAACACCAUAGGUGCUCCAUUCCAAACUCUUCCCAACCCUGGGGUGAGGUUGUUUGGUACAGUGGGUGCCAAUACUCACUGUGCAUUAGAAUUACCAGGCCCAUUUAAAUGUCAGAGUCCUGGGAACCUUUGCUAGAGAGAAAUUCAAAUUAAGUUGCUCUGUGUUUUUGCUACUCAGCAAAGUCCCCAAGCCAGCGGGAUCAAUCCUGAGACUUCCCAGUUCAGCAUCUGCAUUUUAACAAGAUCCCCAGGUAAUCUGAGCACACUAAGUUUAGAGAAUCCCUUGUCUAACCCAUGACAUAGACAUCAGGUUUUUUUUUUUGAGACGGAGUCUCACUCUGUCACCCAGGCUGGAGUGCAGUGGUGCAAUCUUGGCUCACUGCAAGCUCCGCCCCCCCCAGGUUAACGCCAUUCUCCUGCCUCAACCCCCAAGUAGCUGGGACUACAGGCACCCACCACCAAGCCUGGCUAAUUUUUUGUAUUUUUAGUAGAGACAGGGUUUCACCGUGUUAUCCAGGAUGGUCCCGAUCUCCUGACCUCGUGAUCCACCCGCCUCGGCCUCCCAAAGUGCUGACAUUACAGGCAUGAGCCACCAUGCCCAGCCAGCCUUUUUUUUGGAGAUCACCAGGUGAUUCUGUAUGUUGUCAGGGCUGAGAAUCUGAUGAUGAAGAAGCAUCUCAAUUUUAGGUGCCAGACAGCAGCUAAUCCCCAUAUGGAAUGAGGGGCCAGUUGCACAGAUGAUUUUUCCUGGUCUGGUCGUAGGAAGGGGGCAGUGUAUACAGAUCCCUCACCUUGGAACUUCCGCAUCCUUGGGUUCAUCUGCAGAAUCUUCUUCAGCUUGGGCUCCAGUUCCUUGAUGUGGGAAGCCAGCCUCUCUAGCUGCCAACUGGGCCUGAUUUUGUUCUUCUGAGAGACCAUGGAACAGCAACAGCAAAGUAGAUCCUCCCCAUGGGGCUCCUUCUGCAGUGAAUUGAUGCACUUGAAGCAGACAGCGCAUCCACACUCCAGGGACAUUGGUUUCUCUAGAUAGUCUGAGCAGACGGGACAGCUGCUUGCUUCUUGGAAGAGUGCAGCCAUGUCCACUGCCAGGGGAAAAGUGCACAAGGGAAGAAAAUUUCCGUGAGGUGAAAGCCUGUUAGUUGUGACAAGUGACAACCUUUUCAUGCAUAAAGGUAUUGUGUCCCAGCUUUGUCACUUCUAGAACAAGACCAUGAGUACAAACACUCAAGCACAUCCCCCCACCCCCCGUCUUCAGAGAUUUGAAGUUCUAUUGGGAAAGAAAGUCACGAAUCAUCACUGUGCUCUGAACUGAGGUGGAGGAAGGGUCCAUUCUACUGGUGACCCAGCAACUGAGCCUGAGCCAGUGACACGGCAGCACCCAUGUGAGGAACAGCGAGCUGGGGUCAUUUCACCUCCUCCUAGGGGAACCCCAGCAAGAGAUUGAUUGAUGAACAUAAGAAUUAGGGGCUGGGAGGCCGGGCGUGGUGGCUCAGGCCUAUAAUCCCAGCACUUUGGGAGGCUGACGUGAGUGGAUCAUCUGAGGUCGUCAAAAGUUCGAGACCAGCCUGAUGGGUGAAACCCCAUCUCUACUGAAAAUACAAAAGAAUUAGCCAGGCGUGGUGGCACACGCCUGUAAUCCCAGAUACUUGGGAGGCUGAGGCAGGAGAAUUGCUUGAACCUGGGAGGCAAAGGUUGCAGUGAGCCAAGAUCCAGCCAUUGCACUCCGGCCUGGACAACAGAGUGAGACACCAUCUCAAAAAAAAAAAAAAAAAAAAAGAGAGGGACUGGAUGCAGUAGCUCACAUCUGUAAUCCCAGCACUUUGCGAGGCCAAGGCUGGAAGAUCCCUUGAGCCAAGGAGUUUGAGAUCAGCCUGGGCAACACAGGAAGACCCCCUCUCUACAAAUAAUAGAAAAAUUAGCAGUGAGCAGAGAUCACACCAGGUCACUCCAACCUGGACAACAGAGUUAAGACCCUGUCUCACCAAAAAAAAAAAAAAAAAAAUCACAUCCUUCUCCAGCCUUGGAAAUGAAUACCAAAUUGACUGCCACCACUCCUAGACUGGAGAUCUGGGGAUCCAGGGUGACUGGUUUUCAACUCUGAGGCAGCACUCAGACAGCCUUUGUUGAAUUCAUUAAUUACGAAUUUCUCUCAUUCAUCCCCCAAGGCAUAACCCCCAUUUCUAGGCAUCUAAGGAGGAAAAACACACACACAGGCAUGGGCUCACCUCUUCUGCUGGAAGCUCCUCUGUCCUCCAGCUGCUUCCACUGGGCGCUCAGGUCUUGUGCGGAAGGGGCACAUGAGGGCGUUUUAUUGGUGAGAUUCCCACCUCCCACUGGGUCAUGCCCUUCCACACCCUCUAACCUAAUGAGGCUUUGAUUUAAUUAUAACAGGGAAUUAGGUUUUUACUGGUGAUAUAUCUCCAGUUAAUUGUAACUUUAGUAAAUCCUUCAUCCUGACAGUGUAUUUUUCUUUCAUAUGAAGAUAAGAUUAAAUUGCCUUUAUAUUAAAUUAGGCUUAAUGUACUAACUUCAAAAGCUUAUUUUAGAGAUGUUUCCAUCAGUUGUCAGUAAAGAUAAUUCCUGUAAUAUGUUGUAGGCUUCAAGCUUUGCUUGGAAACCUGAAGUAUUAAGUAUGAUUGGAUUUGCAAUUUUACAAAAUGGUUUAAAUUCAUAUACAUCAGACUCAAAGGUAAUAGGGGCAUGCAUUCCAUUGAGGAAAUUCUAGGGAAUUUUUAUUUAUUUUCAUUGGUUUAUUUCUGGUUUUGAAAAAAUUUCAUAAUUCAUAGGAAAAAAUUGGAUAAUUACUAUUUUGACAAAUGACCAUUAAGCUUCUUGGACCUUGAGUACUUCACACAGUGUUAAGAUAAAAGUCACAAUUUAAAAAAAAAAGAUGAUUUUCUUGUGAAACUUGUGUUCUCAAAUAAAAAUUGUUACCCGUG
rnacentral:lncRNA from 1 species